rnacentral:rRNA from 1 species
UGAGUACGAGAUGCUACGGCAUCGAAGCAGUCUAUGUCAUACUUCCAAGAAAAGCUUGCACUGUCAUAAACAAAGAAUGCCUGUACCAUAACCGACACAGGUGGGUAGGUAGAGUAUACUAAGGGGCGCGAGAUAACUCUCUCUAAGGAACUCGGCAAAAUGACUCCGUAACUUCGGGAGAAGGAGUGCCUUAUUUCUAAGGUUGCAAUAACAAGAUCCAAGCAACUGUUUACCAAAAACACAGGUCUCCGCUAAGUCGUAAGACGAUGUAUGGGGGCUGACGCCUGCCCAGUGCCAGAAGGUUAAAGAAGUUGGUUAGCAUUAGCGAAGCUGAUAACUGAAGCCCUGGUGAACGGCGGCCGUAACAAUAACGGUCCUAAGGUAGCGAAAUUCCUUGUCGGGUAAGUUCCGACCCGCACGAAAGGCGUAAUGAUUUGGAUACUGUCUCGGAGAGGGGCUCGGUGAAAUAGACUUGUCUGUGAAGAUGCGGACUACCUGCACCUGGACAGAAAGACCCUAUGAAGCUUUACUGUAACUUGAGAUUGAAAUUGGACUUUAUUUGCGCAGUAUAGGUGGGAGGCGUUGAGAAUAAUCUUGCGGGAUUGUUGGAGCCAUCAGUGAGAUACCACUCUUGUAAUGUUAGAUUUCUAACUCUGUAUCAUUAUCUGGUCAAAGAACAGUUUCAGGCGGGCAGUUUGACUGGGGCGGUCGCCUCCCAAAGGGUAACGGAGGCGCACAAAGGUUUCCUCUGAACGGGUAGAAAUCGUAUCUAGAGUGUAAAGGCAUAAGGAAGCUUGACUGUGAGACCUACAAGUCGAGCAGGGACGAAAGUCGGUCUUAGUGAUCUGACGGUGCUGAGUGGAAAGGCCGUCACUCAACGGAUAAAAGUUACUCUAAGGAUAACAGGCUGAUCUCCCCCAAGAGUUCACAUCGACGGGGAGGUUUGGCACCUCGAUGUCGGCUCAUCGCAUCCUGGGGCGGUAGUCCGUCCCAAGGGUUGGGCUGUUCGCCCAUGAAAGCGGUACGCGAGCUGGGUUCAGAACGUCGUGAGACAGUUCGGUCCAUAUCCGGUGUAGGCGUUAGAAUAUUGAGAGGAGCCUUCUCUAGUACGAGAGGACCGAGAAGGACAUACCUCUGGUGUACCAGUUAUCGUGCCAACGGUAAACGCUGGGUAGCUAUGUAUGGAGUGGAUAACCGCUGAAAGCAUCUAAGUGGGAAGCCCACCUCAAGAUAAG